AUGAGGACCCUUUGCUGAAACUGCCGCGGAAUUGGCAAUCCCGCGACGGUUCGUGAGCUCCGCGAUCUCGUGGAGGCGUGUGCGCCGAUGGUACUCUGUAUUGUUGAAACACAAAUUGCAAAGUACCGGGUGGAAGGCUUGGAUGGUAGUUUAGGGUUUACUGGUAGUUUUGGUGUUGCGAGUAGCGGACGUAAUGGAGGUUUAUGCAUGUACUAG
rnacentral:rRNA from 1 species